GACGAACGCUGGCGGCGUGCUUAACACAUGCAAGUCGAACGGAAAGGCCCUGCUUGCAGGGUCCUCGAGUGGCGAACGGGUGAGUAACACGUGGGUGAUCUGCCCUGCACUUCGGGAUAAGCCUGGGAAACUGGGUCUAAUACCGGAUAGGAGCCAUUUUUAGUGUGAUGGUUGGAAAGUUUUUUCGGUGUAGGAUGAGCUCGCGGCCUAUCAGCUUGUUGGUGGGGUAAUGGCCUACCAAGGCGGCGACGGGUAGCCGGCCUGAGAGGGUGGACGGGCACAUUGGGACUGAGAAACGGCCCAGACUCCUACGGGAGGCAGCAGUGGGGAAUAUUGGACAAUGGGCGCAAGCCUGAUGCAGAGACGCCACGUGGGGGAUGACGGCCUUCGGGUUGUAAACUCCUUUCGCUAGGGACGAAGCUUUUUGUGACGGUACCUAGAGAAGAAGCACCGGCUAACUACGUG
rnacentral:rRNA from 1 species